GUGCUUACUUCAGCAGCACAUAUACAAAAAUUGGAACUAUACAGAGAUUAGCAUGGCCCCGUGCAAGGAUGACACACAAAUUCAUGAAGCAUUCCAUGUUUUU
rnacentral:snRNA from 1 species